GGGUGCGUUGGUGUAACUGUGGACCGAUGUGACAUUUCAUGGAGAAAGGGGUGAGCAGUCAGCAAAUAGAGGACUAUUUGCAUAGGUGUUAUCCCAGGAGCAGACUCAGGAGGUGGAUCCUAGGCAGUGACAUCACUUUGCUCACAAUAGGCCCCAGGAGAACUUGGAACUCCUGUAACCCGGCACCCAUGCACUAGUGAGGUCCCAUACCAGUCUCAUUUGUCUACAGACACAGAGAGUUUGGGAUGUUCUCUUGUUUUCCCAGUUACCAGGGCUCUGGAUACCAGAAACCCCAGUGUACAGGAUUAUUCGGAUGUUGGAGAGGUUUCCUUCACCCAUGCUGGCGAUGCCUCAGGAUGUUUUCCAGGAGGUCACAUAAGGUCUGAGGACAAGUGAAAGCAAGCAGACAUGGCUUUGAGGACUCCUGCCUGCGUGCAGGGCACUGUCUUUACAGAGCCACACGUCAGAGAUGGAGGAGAAGGUGAAUGAUGAGAGCCCCUGCUCUACUUCCCUGAAGGACAGGAGGAAGCCCCAUGCCAUCAGCAGGAUGCCCCGCUGGCUCAGGGCCGCACCCGUGAACGAGAAUGAGAACUGUGUGGAGUGGACCAUCAAUGCAGGCCUGCUGAAGCAGUGAGUGGAGCACCUGGUGCCCGCCUUCCUGUGGAGAGACCCCACCUGCUUCUUCACAUUCUUGGGCACGUACAGAGCUUUUGCUACCACCCAACAGGUCCUGGAACUAUUGUUUAUGAGAUAUGGCUGCUUCCUUCCUGAGACUGAGGAAGAUGGUGGACCCCGGGAGCAGGAGAAAAUGGCCGCCAUCUCCAUUCUGGGCACCUGCCUGGACCACUACCCUGAGGACUUUUUCCAGCCCCCAGAUUUCAUCAGCCUGCAGAUACUGCGGGCAUAUAUAGGGGUCCACAUGCCAGGCUCCGAGCUGCAGCGCCGUGACCGCCUUCUCUACUCAUCACGGAGAAACCAUGAGCCCAAUUACCCAGAAUCUCUGGGCGAGGAGGACUCUGGGUGGGAGAUGUGGGCAUGUAGAUGGGACAGGGUAUGCCACACAAAGCACGUUUCCUGAGACUGCAGGUGGGCUAGGAGUUGUGAGUAGUCUCAGAUCACUGUUCCAUUAGCCUGCCAUCUGGGAGAUUUCCUCCUGGUGGGUUCUUUGACUCAGAUGACAUUGUCUGCGGGAGAGGUUUCCUUUAUUAGGAAAGGCCAUGGAAAGGCAAUCAUGGUGAUGACACUUUGUAUUCUUGGAGCUAUGGCACCAGCUCCAGAGCAAAAUCCAGACGCCACUCAGGAGCUAGCCCCCGCUAUCUCUGUGGUGCCCACUGCAGCUUCGCAGCCCAGGCUGCCUGCAGCCACCACUCAUCCUGGAUCUCAGCAAUUAGAAGAAUUGGUGACCCUCCCUGCAGAGUCACAACCAGUGCAGGUGGUAGUCCCAGCUCUGAUUCACUGUCAGGAGCUGGAAGAGACACCUGCCCCUUUGGUGGACCCAGACCCUGAGCAGCCUCCAGCCCCAGCUGGCGGGGUCACGGAAGGGCUGGAGCAACCACCUGCUGCAGCUGAGGAACCAGCCUCGGCUCCCGAGCAGUGGCGCAUGUUGGCUGCAGCCCCAAAGGAUGCCCUGAUCCUGUCAUUGCGUUCUUUGUAAUUUUUGUGGUUUGUAUAGAGAUAUUUACUGUCCUUAUGUAUUGUUUUGUAAAUAAAACAUAAAUUAACU